rnacentral:rRNA from 1 species
AUAAAGUGGCGAACGGCUGAGUAACACGUGGGCAACCUGCCCUUUGCACUGGGAUAGCCUCGGGAAACCGAGGUUAAUACCGGAUACUCCAUAUUUGUCGCACGGCGAAUAUGGGAAAGCUCCGGCGGCAAAGGAUGGGCCCGCGGCCUGUUAGCUAGUUGGUGGGGUAGUGGGCCUACCAAGGCAAUGAUGGGUAGCCGGGUUGAGAGACCGACCGGCCAGAUUGGGACUGAGACACGGCCCAGACUCCUACGGGAGGCAGCAGAC